rnacentral:rRNA from 1 species
GAUGAACGCUGACAGAAUGCUUAACACAUGCAAGUCUACUUGAUUCUACUUCGGUAGUUGAUGGUGCGGACGGGUGAGUAACGCGUAAAGAAUCUGCCCUUUAGUUUGGGAUAACCUUUGGAAACGAAGGCUAAUACCGGAUAUUAUGGAGACGUCGCAUGGCGACUCCAUGAAAGCUAUAUGCGCUAGAGGAGGACUUUGCGCCCCAUUAGUUAGUUGGUGAGGUAAUGGCUCGCCAAGACCGCGAUGGGUAGCCGGCCUGAGAGGGUGAUCGGCCACAAGGGAACUGAGACACGGUCCUUACUCCUACGGGAGGCAGCAGUGGGGAAUAUUGGACAAUGGGCCACAAGCCUGAUCCAGCAAUUCUGUGUGCACGAUGAAGGUCUGCGGAUUGUAAAGUGCUUUCAGUAGGGAAGAAAAAAAUGACGGUACCUACAGAAGAAGCGACGGCUAAAUAUGUGCCAGCAGCCGCCGUAA